GUGCCAGCAGCCGCGGUAAUACGGAGGGUGCGAGCGUUAAUCGGAAUUACUGGGCGUAAAGGGCGCGUAGACGGUCGCGCAAGUCGGGUGUGAAAGCCCCGGGCUCAACCUGGGAAUUGCAUUCGAUACUGCGUAACUAGAGUCUGGUAGAGGGAAGCGGAAUUCCGCAUGUAGCGGUGAAAUGCGUAGAUAUGCGGAGGAACACCAGUGGCGAAGGCGGCUUCCUGGGCCAAGACUGACGCUGAGGCGCGAAAGCGUGGGGAGCAAACAGGAUUAGAUACCCUGGUAGUCCACGCCCUAAACGAUGAGGACUAGACGUUGGGGGGAUAAAACCCUUUAGUGUCGCAGCUAACGCGUGAAGUCCUCCGCCUGGGGAGCACGGCCGCAAGGUUGAAACUCAAAUGAAUUGACGG
rnacentral:rRNA from 1 species